AUGAUUUGUCCUGGCUUUCAAAAGACAUCAUCGAGUAUAGCUCCGGGAAGUAUCAUUAAUCCAGUUUCAGAUAUCCGGGGCCGAAAAUCAUACAUUACAAUAAGAGUUUUCAAGGAUAAAUCUUCUGGUGACUGGCACGUCCAUUAUGGAUUAAACGGUGGUAUCAAACCAGUUGGCUAUUUUCCCAAAUCCUUGAUUCCAGGACUUAUUGAUAGGAAAGUUGAGAUUAGUUUUGGAGGCUAUGUGUCUCACCAAAAGCCACAACCGAGUCCUCCGAUGGGAAGUGGCUACGCUCCAGCCAGUGGCAAUGCUGCGUCCUUCAAAAAUAUCAAACUAAUUGAUGCCAAUGGCAAUGCUCAUCUUGUGAACACAAAUCUUCCAUUUCGUGUGGACCCCAAAAGAUGCUAUCCUAUAUCUUACAUUGAUUCAGCCAGGUUCUUUUACGGGGGAUCUGGAUGUGCUGAUUAA
rnacentral:rRNA from 1 species